GGGGAAUAUUGGGCAAUGGGCGCAAGCCUGACCCAGCAACGCCGCGUGAGGGAAGAAGGUUUUCGGAUUGUAAACCUCUGUCGCAGAUGACGAAGGAAGUGACGGUAAUCUGUGAGGAAGCCCCGGCUAACUACGUGCCAGCAGCCGCGGUAAUACGUAGGGGGCGAGCGUUGUCCGGAAUUACUGGGCGUAAAGGGAGCGUAGGCGGCCGAUUAAGUUGGAUGUGAAAUCCCCGGGCUUAACUUGGGUGGUGCAUCCAAUACUGGUUGGCUAGAGUACAGGAGAGGAAAGCGGAAUUCCUGGUGUAGCGGUGAAAUGCAUAGAUAUCAGGAGGAACAUCGGUGGCGAAGGCGGCUUUCUGGACUGACACUGACGCUGAGGCUCGAAAGCGUGGGGAGCAAAC
rnacentral:rRNA from 1 species